CCCUGCCGUCCAGAAUCAGAACCCUGCCAGGUAGUGGAAGAGCGUCCCCAGCGUUGGCAUCCCAGGAUCCAGUCCACCCACAAAAGGUAGUGAGCUGCCAGGGGCCAGUGAGCUGCCUGUGGCCGAAGCAGGCAACUCCCCACCCUGGCAGCCCUACAUCGUGUUUUGGAGCUGCGGGAGAGAAACUGCCACUCAGGAAAGGAGAAAGGAUACUUGUCCGCACCUGUGGCCCUCAUCCUUGCUGGUGGCUGAAAGUUGGGAGCGUUUUUUUUUCUAGAGUUCCUGGUGAGGCCACACCUGAGGCCUGCGGUGACCUUGGGAGGUGAACUCCUACCCGGUUUACAAAUGGAAGCUUGGGGGAAGGAAGAGAUGUUCAGUGAUGCUUGAAGUUAAGUUUUUACGUGGUCUGCACCUAUCAUCACAGACAGAGGGUGAGCAGAUUUGCAUGUGGAUCUACGUGUUGAAAGCCAUGUAUAAAGGUGGCCAUAUACAAGUCAUGAAGUGAGGGCUCAAGAAACCAAGCCUGCUGACUCUGGACACCUGGCCCUCCAGGACAGUAAGGGCUUCUGUGACCCAUUGUCCACCAUGAUCCAAGUAUAUUAAAUAGAAGCAAGGUCCAGUGGAAGACUCCUGCAAUCCCACCUUGGGGAGGCAAGGACAGGAGGACGUGGAGUUCCAAGCCAGCCUGAACUGCACAGGGAGACCUUGUCUCAAAAAAAACCAAAACCAAUAGUUUCAAAUAGAAAAAUUCCAGAAAUGGUUUCUGACCUUUACAUCACACGCAGUUGUGAGUAGCACUGUGCUCGUUCUGUGUCUCGCCCAGGAAGCUAGCCAUCCUUUGUACACCAUACAUCCUGCACAUACUACCUGCCCACGGCUCCUCAAGCGGACACCAUAGCUAAAUCCUCCCCGUGGAAGGGUCAGACAAACCCCCCAGGGAGGGACAGAAAGCGCAGGGUGUCCAUGAUUUGCUUUCUCACCCUGGAGUGGCCCCAGCCUUGCUCGUUCAUACACAGGUCCAGAGAGAGUCACAGCAAGAAGACAGUUGAGUUCAAGCCUUCGCGUCACAGAAAUGGACAGAGUGGGGUCCAGGGAGGGCAAGGACCUGCCCAAGGCCACCCAGUGCCCUGGUGUACAGCAUGUUCCAGCCUGAGUGUCCCAACCGGCUGCCCAGUGCCUUUCCAAGUCCCAAAUCAAUGCAGUGCUCGUGAGAAUGUAGAAAGAAGAGCGUUGUGGGAGACACACAGCGGGCCUGAGCAGCUCUAAUUAAUACCGACACAAUCAACACCCGCUGUGCGCGCUCAGACACAGCGCUGACUCCAGUCCCAUCCGGAGCACUGGAAACUGCAGGCCAGCACCCACGGAGGGCUCGGCACGUGACGGAUGCUCGCUAAAGCCUGGCGUCUCUCGCUCUGCAUGCAGUCCCUUCUGCUUCCAUGGGUCGCUGCAGGGGCUUGCCUCUUUCCUGGUAACAACAUCCCCGUAGAUGAAAAGAGACAAAAUUGUAAUUGAGAGAGAGGAAAAGCGUACGGAGCCAGCUUCCAGAUCAUCUUCUCAUGGGAGUUUGAAACAAAGCCGCUUGUGUUUUAAAACCUGGCAUAGCUCGAACCUCUCUGGUCACAUCCAAGACUUUUACAGGCCCUAGGGAAGGACCCAGGACCUGAAGGUGAUCUCCCUCCUCUGCUCUCCCUGGCCAACACCGCAGAAGGAAAUUUCUGUCCCACCAGGUCCCACAGCCAUUCAGUCCCAAAUAAAC